rnacentral:tRNA from 1 species
GGGCUAGUAGCUCAGUUGGUUAGAGCACACCCCUGAUAAGGGUGAGGUCGAAGGUUCGAGCCCUUUCUGGCCCA